rnacentral:lncRNA from 1 species
AUAUAUCAUAAGGCAGCAAUUCCUUUUAGUUGUUCCACUAUAAAAAAGCAUCCAGAUUUAGAACUUGACAGGAACCAGUAUCGCCUGCCCCCCAGAGCCGGCAGAAAGUCUGUGUAUGUCAUUCAGCCAGCAUGGAGUCUGGGUGUUUUAAAAGCUUUAAUUUGAAGGGGAUAAAAAACCUGGGCGUUAAGCAAUUUGGCUGUGGAUAUUUAAUGCAUCAGCCACGCUAUAGAAUUGGAGUCCUCUAUUUAAAAUGAGAAAUUGAAAACUUACACGCUCUGUAGGCAAGGUGUAAGUAAAUGUAGGAUGGUAAGCAGAAAUCAGCUGAGAACCUGCAGAAACGCCAUUAGAAGGACUAAUGGCAUGGUUCAGAAGUGGCCUUAAACAAAUGCUAGGGUGUCGUUUGUAAGUGUGUAAAACAGGUCUGGCUUUUAAUUAGCAGGAGCCAUAUCUCCCUGUGUUUAGGAAAAGGCAUUACUUCUCAAAGAGAAUAUCCUAACGGGGUCUACAUAGGGACCAGGAGGAAACAAUGGCCCGGGAGUUGAGAUUUGCCUCAAGGCACGUUCCUCCUCAAUGGCAGCGUGGAGAUUGGAACUCAGUCUCCUUAUCUCUAAUUUCCACUCUAACACACUUAUUGUAGGUAGAAAAAAUGCAUCCCAAAGAUGUCUACUUCUUACUCCCCAGAACCUGUACAUACAGCACCUUACAUGGCAAAAGUGACUUUGCAGAUACGAUUGAGUUAAGGGUUUUGAGAUAGGGAGAUUACCAGGUGGCCCAACGGAAUCACAAGGGGCCUGAUAAGUAUGAGAGGGAGCAGAAGAGUGAGGGUCAGAGUCAGAGAGAGACUGGAAGAUGCUAUACCACUGGCUUUGAAGAUGAAGGAGGGGGACACAAGCCAAGGAAUGCAGGCAGCCUCUAAAUGCAGGAAAAGGUUUACUCCAUUCAUUAGAGGAGAUGACAGAACUCUUGACAGCAAUGCUAUCAAGAAGGAAGUUUCAGUUUAAGAACCCCUCUGGGCUUGCAGAAUGACACACACUGCAGCCAAGAUGGUGCUACUAUAAGAAAUGGACUCCCCAGCACGUUAUUGAAGAAAAAAAAAACCUGCAGCAAUCAAAAAAAAAAGGGGGGACGGGGGCAAAUCUAUAACUUCAGCUGGAAGUGAUGAAAAUUAACUGUUAGAAGUAGAAGAGACCUUAUGCUACUAAAAUAAUAAUCAUCACUUCAAAUAUUUCCUGCUCUUGAAAUAUUUUGUCAGUGCCCUGUGAUAUCGG